rnacentral:misc_RNA from 1 species
CUGCCUUAAUGCUUGCGGAGAUACCACAUGGAUACGCCCUUCAUUGUUGUGGACUCGCGAACAGGUUUUCAUGUAGCAUCGAGUCACCUGCGAUUGUUGAGCGCUGAGGAAAGGAGUAAAAGUGCUUUGGCUGUGUUGUGCAACACGAUCUUUCUUCAAUGGGCGUGUAUUGACGAUAAUACUACCGAUAUUGUGUCCAGGAGCAGCUCUUCCUCCUUCACUGUUGAGACGCCCUUGAGCAGCGAUAUGCAUGGUGAUGUGCAGUACUUUCACUUCAAAAACAGUUUUUUGUGUGUGGUUUUCGCGAAAAGGCGGCACGAACUCUAUGAGCGCUAUGCGGAGUGCAUCGUGGAGGAGGCCGUCUGCGGCCGUGCAAGUAAACUGAGCGCAGCGGCGCACAUCCAGAGGUGUGCUGAGUCAGUUUUCAAAGAUAGCAUCCGCGCGUUGUUUGGAGGCGCCGGAGUCAAGGACUAUGCAAUAGUCACGCAGGGACCGUAUGGCUGCUUGAAUCUUGGGGGUGGUUUUUUGAGCGAACGGUGCGGCGUUCUCAACGCCCUUGUGCGCCGCACGUUUUCUUCUGGAGUGCACGUUGCAGGCAAUCUGAUGUAUUCAGUAAUUAUUCGCGGUGAGACGGUUUAUGCCGUAGCAGCGUGGGGUGUGUCUGUAGAGUGUUUAGAAGUUUUCGGCGAUGAUGUUCUCUGUUCGUGGGCGUUAACAUUAUGUAGUGUGACGGCGCAUUAGUGCUGUGAAAAAAAAAUAUCGCGACUGAUUACUGCGCAUUUGUUGCAUUCGAAGUUGAGGCGCGUCGGCUCAUCUUCGGUGGAUAUCGUUUUUGAACUCACUGUUGUUACUUCCAUGCUAACAUCCUAUGAAUGUACGUGAAGCGAUGGACGUGUUGCUGCUUUCUUUUUCUGUUUAUAUCGUCUCCUCUCUAAUUUACUCUGUGCGUCAUCUUUCUCCUUAUUCAG